GACGAACGUUGGCGGCGUGCUUAACACAUGCAAGUCGAACGGAAAGGCCCUGCUUUUGUGGGGUGCUCGAGUGGCGAACGGGUGAGUAACACGUGAGUAACCUGCCCUUGACUUUGGGAUAACUUCAGGAAACUGGGGCUAAUACCGGAUAGGAGCUCCUGCUGCAUGGUGGGGGUUGGAAAGUUUCGGCGGUUGGGGAUGGACUCGCGGCUUAUCAGCUUGUUGGUGGGGUAGUGGCUUACCAAGGCUUUGACGGGUAGCCGGCCUGAGAGGGUGACCGGCCACAUUGGGACUGAGAUACGGCCCAGACUCCUACGGGAGGCAGCAGUGGGGAAUAUUGCACAAUGGGCGGAAGCCUGAUGCAGCAACGCCGCGUGCGGGAUGACGGCCUUCGGGUUGUAAACCGCUUUCGCCUGUGACGAAGCGUGAGUGACGGUAAUGGGUAAAGAAGCACCGGCUAACUACGUGCCAGCAGCCGCGGUGAUACGUAGGGUGCGAGCGUUGUCCGGAUUUAUUGGGCGUAAAGGGCUCGUAGGUGGUUGAUCGCGUCGGAAGUGUAAUCUUGGGGCUUAACCCUGAGCGUGCUUUCGAUACGGGUUGACUUGAGGAAGGUAGGGGAGAAUGGAAUUCCUGGUGGAGCGGUGGAAUGCGCAGAUAUCAGGAGGAACACCAGUGGCGAAGGCGGUUCUCUGGGCCUUUCCUGACGCUGAGGAGCGAAAGCGUGGGGAGCGAACAGGCUUAGAUACCCUGGUAGUCCACGCUGUAAACGGUGGGUACUAGGUGUGGGGUCCAUUCCACGGGUUCCGUGCCGUAGCUAACGCUUUAAGUACCCCGCCUGGGGAGUACGGCCGCAAGGCUAAAACUCAAAGGAAUUGACGGGGCCCCGCACAAGCGGCGGAGCAUGCGGAUUAAUUCGAUGCAACGCGUAGAACCUUACCUGGGUUUGACAUGGAUCGGGAGUGCUCAGAGAUGGGUGUGCCUCUUUUGGGGUCGGUUCACAGGUGGUGCAUGCCUGUCGUCAGCUCGUGUCGUGAGAUGUUGGGUUAAGUCCCGCAACGAGCGCAACCCUUGUUCACUGUUGCCAGCACGUUAUGGUGGGGACUCAGUGGAGACCGCCGGGGUCAACUCGGAGGAAGGUGGGGAUGACGUCAAGUCCUCAUGCCCCUUAUGUCCAGGGCUUCACGCAUGCUACAAUGGCUGGUACAGAGAGUGGCGAGCCUGUGAGGGUGAGCGAAUCUCGGAAAGCCGGUCUCAGUUCGGAUUGGGGUCUGCAACUCGACCUCAUGAAGUCGGAGUCGCUAGUAAUCGCAAAUCAGCAACGCUGCGGUGAAUACGUUCCCGGGGCU
rnacentral:rRNA from 1 species